GGAUGUGAAGGCGAUCUGGCUGUGACAUCUGUUGCCCCAUUGAUCGCCAGAGUUGAUUCAGUUUACCUGGCUGGCCAGGCAGGUGUCCCCUUCCUCCCUCACUGCUCCAUGUGUGUCCCUCCUGAAGGUGCAUGCUCGGUGGAAGAGGACGACCUUCCCCGAUAUAGGAGGACUGUUCUUCAGUCAAGGGUAUAUAGGGUAGCUGUGCUCUCCUGCUUGUACCUCCAAACAAGCUCUCAAGAUUUGUUGGGGAUCUACUAUUUCCCAGGAGUUACAUAGGUGUUGAGGAUGUGGUGAUCAAAAAGACUUAGUCUUUGACUUCUAAGAAGUGUCUAAAAAA
rnacentral:snRNA from 1 species